rnacentral:rRNA from 1 species
UACGGAGGGGGCUAGCGUUGUUCGGAAUUACUGGGCGUAAAGCGCACGUAGGCGGCUUUGUAAGUUAGAGGUGAAAGCCCGGGGCUCAACCCCGGAAUUGCCUUUAAGACUGCAUCGCUUGAAUCCAGGAGAGGUGAGUGGAAUUCCGAGUGUAGAGGUGAAAUUCGUAGAUAUUCGGAAGAACACCAGUGGCGAAGGCGACUUACUGGACACAUAUUGACGCUGAGGUGCGAAAGCGUGGGGAGCAAACAGG